CCUUGGGCUACAAGUUUAACAACAUCAAUAAGGGGUCAAAGGAGGACAGAUUUAUAAGAUAUUCAUAAAAUAAAUUAAAGAAACAAAAGGUCCUAUCAGAAAAAACUGGUUCUUUUGAUAGACCAUUUCCUUCCAAUUCUCGAGCUCAAUUGAGCUAGAAAAGAUUUGAGAGGGAGUUGGGUGAAGAGACGGUCGUGAGCCUUUCACAGAUUUCCUCCAUACUUCUUGAUCCACUUAGCCUCCCACCAAGUGCAGAAAGUUGAAGAACACUCAAAAUUAAGAGCUAAAUAUUUUCAGGCAGCCUUGCUCAUAAGCUUAAGACUCCGUCAUGUAGCUCGGAAAAUGUCAUCUGAAGGAGAUUAGAAGCGGUACAAAGUGCCACAG
rnacentral:lncRNA from 1 species